rnacentral:lncRNA from 1 species
CUGAAGUCAGUGAAGUUGCUUGCUUUCCUAAACCAGAGUGUCUGGAUUCUGAACAACAGUUUGAAAUAGAAGUUUAACCAAAUAUUUACUAAUAUUUGCCUGAAGCACGUACUGAAUUUGGAUUUACAACUUAAGAAAUUAACUCCCUCAGUCAUGAAAGAAAAAUAAGACAACAACCAAACAGAAUUGCAACUGAAUGCUGGAUGACAGCAAAUCAUUUCUCACUUCUCUAACUGCUUUCUACCAGAUUCUUAUGAGUUACUUAUUUGCAUUUAUUUGGAGAUAGGUUGCUCCUUCUUUGCACUUUUGUCCCAGUGAGUCAGAAUGAGUCAGAACACAAGGACAAGAGAGGAACAUGAAGCUUCUCUGCAUAGGGUUUGAAGUGGAUGAGAGUUAUACGCCACCUACUCCUUUGUGGACACCUUACUGAGACAUCACAGAGAUGCUGCUCUCCCUGUCUGGAACAGCAUGGAAGUGAAUUUAAUCCUCACCAAAUGAUAAGGUUUCUUGAAGAAAGCUCUGAUGAGAUGUGGACUUACAGAAAGCCACUAGGAAGACUGUCACAUUGACCUGAAAGCUAUCAUCUCCCUCAUGUCGUGUGCUGCUGGCUCAGACAAGGACAGCAGACCUUCACUUCUUGUGGUGACUGCCCAUCCUCCUAUGUCCUCGGGUGUUCUGACACACCUAUUCAGGAGCUGACCAGACUGAAAGUGCUCCAGCAAGCAUUCAUCUUAUCAAGAGACAUCAGAAGCACAGAAAUUUCCUGGGUAAUUCCAGGAAAUUCAUGUACUCAUCAGUGUUUUGUUUCCCCACCCUUUCCAAAGAUUUCAGUCAUAUUUCAACAUGUAAAUACAAAUAAAUAUUUACAUAGAAAUAUAAAUUCCUCUUAG